UACGUAGGUGGCAAGCGUUGUCCGGAAUUAUUGGGCGUAAAGCGCGCGCAGGCGGUUUCUUAAGUCUGAUGUGAAAGCCCCCGGCUCAACCGGGGAGGGUCAUUGGAAACUGGGAAACUUGAGUGCAGGAGAGAAGAGCGGAAUUCCACGUGUAGCGGUGAAAUGCGUAGAGAUGUGGAGGAACACCAGUGGCGAAGGCAGCUCUCUGGUACGUGACUGACGCUGAGACGCGAAAGCGUGGGGAGCGAACAGG
rnacentral:rRNA from 1 species